UGGGGCAGGAACGUUUUCAUUUCUAUGUUCCAUCCACACAGUCCCUAGGAUUGUUUCCUAUAUACUUGGGAAUUUGGUCAAUAUUAACCAAGAAGAAGGAAGAAACACACUUAGAAGCAUGAAGUCCCAUUGAGAAAUAUUGAACGAAUAUCCUUCCUACUAUACUGUAUUGGAUAUACCUUCAAAACUCUGCUCAAGAAUCACUUCAUGCAUGAAGCUGUCCCUUGAUGAGGAUACUUGGCCACUUGUGUCCAAUUUUAUUUGGGCGCUGUGCGCAGAGUUUUUCGUAUGCUGUUUCGUUUGCUCUUCCCAACUGACCUAUUCCGUUAUGAAUACCUUGAAGGUGGCUUACUCAAAAACCCAUAGGUUUGAUGCCAUCAAGAUACUGGUUUACAGACUGGUCUUCAGGCUAUGUGACUUUGGAAUAUUACUUACUUUUCUAAUUUUCACUUUUUGCACUUGGAACGUGAACAUUAUAAUGUCCAUGUUGAAGACUUCUGUGAGGCUUAAAGACGACUUUCAAAGGAAGCAGACACUUCCUUCUCCCAUAGAAAUGGCAGCUCUCAUUGUUCUGCCCCCUCUCCUGCUGUUCCUGCUGUAGUUCUAGGCACAGAGCCUUGCACUUGGAACACAAUCCUGUUUGUUGAAUGAAUCACAAAGAAGUGUCUUGACAAAAUACGUACACUGUUUUUGGCUUUCUAUACAACAGGCAAUAAAUUUUACAGCC
rnacentral:lncRNA from 1 species